rnacentral:rRNA from 1 species
CCUACGGGAGGCUGCAGUAGGGAAUAUUGGGCAAUGGCCGAGAGGCUGACCCAGCCAUGCCGCGUGCCGGACGAAGGCCCUCUGGGUCGUAAACGGCUUUUAUCCUUGAAGAACAGCCCUCAUGCGUGGGGGUUUGACGGUAGAGGAGGAAUCAGCACCGGCUAACUCCGUGCCAGCAGCCGCGGUAAUACGGAGGGUGCAAGCGUUGUCCGGAUUUAUUGGGUUUAAAGGGUGCGCAGGUGGCUUUUUAAGUCUGGUUUGAAAGCAGGCGGCUC